rnacentral:tRNA from 8 species
GGGCGGUUAGCUCAGUUGGUAGAGCGCUUCGUUUACACCGAAGAUGCCGGGGGUUCGAGUCCCUCACCGCCCACCA